rnacentral:piRNA from 1 species
UGACAUAGGAGAGCCACUCAGGUCCACU